rnacentral:rRNA from 1 species
AGCUGGUAAGACCCCUCAUAGACGAUGAGGUUGAUAGGUUCGGUGUGGAAGCGCGGCAACGCGUGGAGCUGACGAAUACUAAUCGGUCGAGGACUUAUCCACA